GUGUUGGCUUCAACAGCACAUAUACUAAAAUCAGAACGAUGCAGAGAAGAGUAGCAUGGCCCCUACUCCAGGAUGACAAGCAAAUUUGUAAAGUGUUCCAUGUUUCU